rnacentral:rRNA from 1 species
GUGGGGAAUAUUGGACAAUGGGCGCAAGCCUGAUCCAGCCAUGCCGCGUGAGUGAUGAAGGCCUUAGGGUUGUAAAGCUCUUUCAGUGGGGACGAUAAUGACGGUACCCACAGAAGAAGCCCCGGCUAACUUCGUGCCAGCAGCCGCGGUAAUACGAAGGGGGCUAGCGUUGUUCGGAUUUACUGGGCGUAAAGCGCACGUAGGCGGAUCGUUAAGUCGGGGGUGAAAUCCUGGAGCUCAACUCCAGAACUGCCUUCGAUACUGGCGAUCUUGAGUCCGGAAGAAGUGAGUGGAACUCCUAGUGUAGAGGUGGAAUUCGUAGAUAUUAGGAAGAACACCAGUGGCGAAGGCGGCUCACUGGUCCGGUACUGACGCUGAGGUGCGAAAGCGUGGGGAGCAAACAGGAUUAGAAACCCGGGUAGUCC